AUUGAACGCUGGCGUCAGGCUUAACACAUGCAAGUCGAGCGAGCGGCGGACGGGUGAGUAAUGUCUGGGAAACUGCCUGAUGGAGGGGGAUAACUACUGGAAACGGUAGCUAAUACCGCAUACCAUCGGAUGUGCCCAGAUGGGAUUAGCUAGUAGGUGGGGUAAGGGCUCACCUAGGCGACGAUCCCUAGCUGGUCUGAGAGGAUGACCAGCCACACUGGAACCGAGACACGGUCCAGACUCCUACGGGAGGCAGCGGUGGGGAAUAUUGGACAAUGGGCGAAAGCCUGAUGCAGCCAUGCCGGGUGUGUGAAGAAGGGCUUCGGGUUGUAAAGCACUUUCAGCGAGGAGGCGUUACUCGCAGAAGGAGCACCGGCUAACUCCGUGCCAGCAGCCGCGGUAAUAC
rnacentral:rRNA from 1 species